GCUGCAGUGACUCAGUCGGUUAGCGCGUAUGGCUGUUAACCAUAAGGUCGAAGGUUCGACCCCUCCCUCUAGCG